rnacentral:rRNA from 1 species
UACGGAGGGUGCAAGCGUUAUCCGGAAUCACUGGGUUUAAAGGGUGCGUAGGCGGUGGCGUAAGUCAGUUGUGAAAUUCCCCGGCUUAACCGGCGGGAGUGCGAUUGAUACUGUGUCACUUGAAUGAGGUUGAGGUAGGCGGAAUGUGGCAUGUAGCGGUGAAAUGCAUAGAUAUGCCAUAGAACACCGAUUGCGAAGGCAGCUUGCUGGACCUUCAUUGACGUUGAGGCACGAAAGCGUGGGGAGCAAACAGG